CAGCUGACCGUGAAAUAUCAAUUGUAAAAAAGUUGAACGUGAAAUCUCCAUGGUAAAAAGAGUUAAACGCGAAAUCUCAAUGGUAAAAUAUUUGAACGUGAAAUCACCAUGGUAAAAGAGUUGAAUGUGCAAUCUCAAUGGUAAAAGAGUUGAAUGUGCAAUCUCAAUGGUAAAAGAGUUGGCCGUGACAUUUUCCUGGUAAAAGAGAUGACCAUGAAAUCUUCGUGAUAAUAGAGAAUAUGUAGAAGUCACAACGGCACAUGCGGAUACAUUAUAAACAAAUAUAAAAUGGAAAAUUAAACUGUCUGGAUACGGUAGAAAUGUUACUCAGAACUGUCAACUGAAAACGUUACUUGAAUGAGACAUUAGAUAUUAUACAUUUAAACAUAUCAAUUUUGAUUCUCCAAAAGCACCAAAAACGUCGAAAAAGAAUAAAAAGUUUAACACAUACUGAAAACGGUAAUCAUGUUAUUGAGAACUGAAUUUUUAACGUGACUUUAAUGAAAUGUUGGGGUACAAAAAUAAACGAAAAUGAAAUAAAUAGUUUAACUGCUCUGUAGACGGUAAAUAUGUUGCUGGGAAUUGAAAACAUAAAUAAGAUGAAAUGUUGGGGGAACAAAAAUAGGCGAACAUAAAAUAAAAAAUAAGUGUACUAGAAACGAUAUACUUGUUACUCAGAACUAAAAACGUGACUUAACUGUAAGAAGAGAAAUGAAACGUUACAUGUGUAUAUCUAUUACUUUUUACAUUAACAAAUAUAGUGUUGUCAUUUGAGCUAUACACGUUAUUUUACAGGGAUUGUCAUAGUUGCAGCAAUAAAAGCCCACAUACUUAAUCAGUUUAACCACAAGGUGAAUCCAUUUGAAUACAUUAACCUGCAAAGAACACAUCAAGCGAAGAAAUACAUUUACUCGUCUAAAAUUAAAUUUAUACCUAUUCUUUAUUUACAUAUAUUACAUCUUCUUUAUCAGAUUUUACACCGGUUAAAUUUGUGGUAGAUGUAUAUAUGUAUAUGGCUUAUAUAUGACUUAUUAGGAAGAACUAAUAUAGAGCAAAAGUUCAAGGUAUAUGAAGGACCGUGCUAUAAAUUUAAAGAUCUUCUUUUUGUAAGUGGUAUUUUAGGGAACCCGUCCAAAAUUGUUAACAUAAGAGAAGGUAUCGUUAGAAUAAAGGCAAAAUAUGUGAGGAUCUUGGUUUGUUUUAUAGAAGAGAGAAUAUAAUAGGGAUGGUUGCAAAGAAAUUAAAAGGGGAAAACACAGAGUAGAUGUUGACGUGGGAAAAUCAGUAACAGAAUAUACGUUAACAAAAAAUGAAGAGAAUAGGAAAUUGGCAUAAAAAAAAGAAUAAAGAAAUCAGGACACUCAUAUUAUGAUAAUGAUGUUAUAAAAAGUAAAAUCACAAAAAUACUGAACUCAGAGGAAAAUCAAUUCGGAAAGUCCAUAAUCACAUGGCAAAAUCAAAUAACAAAACGCAUCAAAAACGAAUGGACAAGAACUGUCAUAUUCCUGACUUGGUAUAUAUCCUGACUUGGUACAGGCAUUUUCAAAUGUAGAAAAUGGUGUAUUGAACCUGGUUUUAUAGCUAGCUAAACCUCUCACUUGUAUGACAGUCCCAUCAAAUUACAUUAUAUUGUCACCGAUAAAUCAAGACACAAAAUUACUACACGCACAUGAAAAAAGGGAGAAAAACAGUGCCUUUAUUGCUGUUAUUCAUCUCAAAAUUUCCAACGAUACCUUUAAUAUAGAGCAAACGCUUUCACCUAACAGCAUCCAAAAGUUCAAAUGUCGUUUAAUCUUUCAUAUAACUCAAAUGUUUAUAUAGCAUUUUUGCUUUAAGCCUUCGAACUUCUUGAAUUUUUUAUUAUUUUAUUUGUGAAUAAAAAACUUUAACCAUUCUAUAGUUAUGGAGUUACUAAAAUAAUAGCAUAAGAAGCGUAAGUCACAUAUAUAUACCAAACUUAUCAAAUGAUAAUCUGCCCCUACCCUAGCCCUUCACUUUGUUCCCCUAUAUGAACAAUAUUUGCUACUCCUAUACUAGCCCUCUACUUGUUCCCCUUUAAGAGUUUUUUAUAUGCCGCUUCUCUCUUAGCUUUCCACCUUGCAACGUUCUCGUCAUCUUCAAUAUAUACUUUUGAAACAAAAACCUUUUACGAAUUCUAGUAGUCAAGUUUACAGUAUGGUCAACUGGAGUUUUCUAAAUUGGUAGUAUGGUAAAAAAAA
rnacentral:lncRNA from 1 species